rnacentral:rRNA from 1 species
CCCAGACUCCUACGGGAGGCAGCAGUGGGGGAUAUUGCACAAUGGGGGGAACCCUGAUGCAGCGACGCCGCGUGGGUGAAGGAGCGUUUCGGCGCGUAAAGCCCUAUCGGCAGGGAAGAAGGAGGACGGUACCUGACUAAGAAGCCCCGGCUAACUACGUGCCAGCAGCCGCGGUAAUACGUAGGGGGCAAGCGUUAUCCGGAUUUACUGGGUGUAAAGGGGGCGCAGACGGCAGCGCAAGCCAGGAGUGAAAGCCCGGGGCCCAACCCCGGGACUGGUCUUGGAACUGCGCGGCUGGAGUGCAGGAGGGGCAGGCGGAAUUCCUGGUGUAGCGGUGAAAUGCGUAGAUAUCAGGAGGAACACCGGUGGCGAAGGCGGCCUGCUGGACUGCGACUGACGUUGAGGCCCGAAAGCGUGGGGAGCAAACAGGAUUAGAUACCCUGGUAC